AGAGUUUGAUCCUGGCUCAGGGUGAACGCUAGCGGGAGGCCUAACACAUGCAAGUCGAACGGGAUUGAGAGCUUGCUCUCAUGAGAGUGGCGCACGGGUGAGUAACGCGUAUGCAACCUACCUAUAACUGAGGGAUAGCCCAUAGAAAUGUGGAUUAAUACCUCAUAGUUCUUUUGGUCCGCAUGGAUUAAAAGAUAAAGCUCCGGCGGUUAUAGAUGGGCAUGCGUGACAUUAGCUAGUUGGUAAGGUAACGGCUUACCAAGGCUACGAUGUCUAGGGGUUCUGAGAGGAUGAUCCCCCACACUGGUACUGAGACACGGACCAGACUCCUACGGGAGGCAGCAGUGAGGAAUAUUGGUCAAUGGGCGCAAGCCUGAACCAGCCAUCCCGCGUGAAGGAUGAAUGUCCUAUGGAUUGUAAACUUCUUUUGUAUGGAAAGAAACUUCCCGACGUGUCGGGAACUGACGGUACUAUACGAAUAAGCAUCGGCUAACUCCGUGCCAGCAGCCGCGGUAAUACGGAGGAUGCAAGCGUUAUCCGGAUUCAUUGGGUUUAAAGGGUGCGUAGGCGGCUUUCUAAGUCAGUGGUGAAAUCUCCCCGCUUAACGGGGAAUCUGCCAUUGAUACUGGGAGGCUUGAAUGUAGUUGAAGUAGGCGGAAUGUGUAAUGUAGCGGUGAAAUGCUUAGAUAUUACACAGAACUCCGAUUGCGUAGGCAGCUUACUAAACUAUGAUUGACGCUGAGGCACGAAAGCGUGGGGAGCAAACAGGAUUAGAUACCCUGGUAGUCC
rnacentral:rRNA from 1 species